rnacentral:rRNA from 1 species
GUGUCAGCAGCCGCGGUAAUACGAAGGUGGCAAGCGUUACUCGGAAUUACUAGGCGUAAAGGGCAGGUAGGCGGUCUUGUUAGUCUGUUGUGAAAGCUCCUUGCUUAACGGGGAGAGGCCAACAGAUACUGCGAGGCUUGAGUAUAGGAGAGGGUACUGGAAUUCCCGGUGUAGCGGUGAAAUGCGCAGAGAUCGGGAGGAACACCAAUGGCGAAAGCAGGUACCUGGACUAUUACUGACGCUCAGCUGCGAAAGCUAGGGGAGCAAACAGGAUUAGAUACCCUGGUAGUCC